AAUCAACGCUGGCGGCGUGCCUCAGACAUGCAAGUCGAACGCGAAAGUUCCCUUCGGGGAGCAAGUAGAGUGGCGCACGGGUGAGUAACACGUAGGUAAUCUACCUUCGGAUGGGGAAUAACAACCGGAAACGGUUGCUAAUACCGCAUAAUGCAGCGGCACCUAAUGGUGACAGUUGUUAAAGCGGGGGAUCGCAAGACCUCGCGUCUGGAGAGGAGCCUGCGGCGGAUUAGCUUGUUGGUGAGGUAAUGGCUCACCAAGGCGAUGAUUCGUAGCCGGCCUGAGAGGGCGGUCGGGCCACACUGACACUGACAUACGGGUCAGACUCCUACGGGAGGCAGCAGUCGGGAAUUUUUGGGCAAUGGGCGAAAGCCUGACCCAGCAACGCCGCGUGAGGGAUGAAAUCCC
rnacentral:rRNA from 1 species